UUCUAAAAUUAGAGAAAAUAAAAAUAUAUUUUACCCUUCCGGUCGUUAAAAUUUCUGUAGUUUGAAGCAGAUAUUCCCAUCACCCCACCCUGCCGGUUAGCCGUAGCUGAACCCGGAACCCACCCGGAGCCACCGUGUAUGACGACAUACACCGCUUUAAAGCCACCGAUUGGGUUGCGCUUCCUCCAACCACCACCGCUUUCCCCUUCUACCACAUCGUUCAAGCUUCCCAGAAUCAACUGUAAUUACUCCUCUUUCGAAGAAUGUAUGUAUGUACUAAAAUAAUUGUAAUAUUUUUGCUCAAGCCCCGGGGACUCAGCUUAGACUUCUGAAUUCAGUUAGUUUUUCACUUCCAGAGAAGAGUUUUGGUCUAAUUUUCGGACAGAGUGGAAGUGGAAAAACAACUCUAUUGCAGCUUCUUGCAGGAAUAAGCAAACCAACCUCGGUAUGUAUUCACAUCCAAAAAUAUGGGAGUGAUGGAAAUCCGAGUCAACCUCCAGAGCCCUUGGUGCCGGAAAGGGUUGGUAUUGUCUUCCAGUUUCCCGAGAGUGCUCAUUGUUUCCAGUUGAGCUACUGCAAAUUAGCCCAUGCUGUGGUGGGUUCCAAUUGGUCAUACAGUGUUGGGACCACUUUCUUGAUUUGGUAUCUGAAUAAAAUCUUUUGCCUUUGUCUGGGUUUGUGAACUUCCCAUCAUCAUAUUCCUGGAGGCAUUCAUGAGGGACAUUUUUUAUCUUACCUUUGUGGGAUUGAAUGCAAUCGUUUCCAUCUACAGGGCUUUCAGGAUAGACUUUUCUGUGAAACAUACGUAGAACCUGCAUAUCCAGAUGAACGGACUAAAUAAUUUAUUAUAAGAUGAUAGUUAAUAUUCACUAUAUUUUCAAGACAUUCGUAUUGAAAACAAGCACUCAAUAAAUUUAUGUUAUUAUCUCGUCGAUAAUAUUUGGCUAAUAAAUCUGAGAAGCAGGUGAUUCUCACAAUCUGGUUUGUGUAGGUUGUGUUUGGCUUCAUCCUUUUUAAGAUUAUUUCCAGUGUGACUAAAGAAACAAACACACGUUUCGAUUUUCAUUGGCCAUAUGUUGCUAAGAUGAUAAGGUAAUAAUCAAAGUGGGUGAUACAACAACCAAGGGAUUUGGUGUUAAAUGUGGUUCAGAAGGUCUAGUAAUAGAGACCAACCUUGUGGAGUUUUUUAUUGGUUGAAGCAGAAUCAGCAUCAUCCCUGGAAGUGUUACAGCUUUUUGAAGAACUGUGGACCCUUUUCAAUAUCUUUCUCAUAAUAUGCAUGGCAGAAGACUUAGUAGUUCUCUUGACUUGUGUUUCUCCUUGUAUUCCUGUCUCUAUACAAUCUUGACUUGUUGCCUUUAUCUUAUAAAGUAGCUCAGCAAGUGAUGCUCUUUCUUUCCUUUCUUGUUUUGUUUCUGGAAGUUCAAAUGAGGACCCCAGUAAAUAUCCUUGCAGUGGACAGUCAUCUUUGUUUCUGUAAUCUUCAGCUUUGGGUCCAUCUAUUUCCUUUCCACAAAGUGUGAUAAUGCUAACAUAGCUGUUUCUUCCUGAUGAAUCAUACGAACUUUCUUCUUUUUCAGCCUCAAGAAAUUUCUCAAGCUCAUAACUUAUGAGCUUCAGUUCAUUUUCUGUCACCUCUUCACUUCUCAAUGUUAUGUUUUCUGAAGGCAUAGCAAAUGUUGGUGUUCCUGGUUCAUUGGUGACUGUUUCUGCACCAAGAGUUCCAAUUGUUAGAAAACCUUCAAAGAGCUCAGCGACUAUUGCAGGUGUUUCUUCUUGAGGCUUAUCUUCUCUGCUGUCGACCAACCCAGAGUAAGAUGUUUGAUUUUCCUGAUGGUGUGGCUUUGAGAAACUGGGUUGAUUUAUGGAGCUGAAGCUUGGCUUUGUCUGGGAGUAUUGAUUGUCAAGUGUUGGCUGCACUGUAAGGCAAGUACAAGGGUUUCCUGAAAUUGGAGUCCAAAAGAAAUUACUAAACUGCAUGUUGCAGGAGAUAAUUGCUGUUCCUGAAGGUUCAACAUCAUGCCUAGAAAGCGAUGGGAGUAAUAUUUCCCAGGGGAAAGCUGUAGUAAAGCUCAGGCGUGAACACUAUUAAGCAAUGUUCAUUUAUAAGAUAUACAUGAAUGUGCUGCAGUAACUGUGAGUACUUUUCUUUGCAUAGGGACAAAUAAUUGUUGCGGCUCUUUCAAAGGCAAUCCCAAGACUAGAAACUCAAAAGGAGAUGGAAGGUGGAAGUGCACAAAGAGGAAUUGUUUCGACUCAUUCUCUAAUGGUGAGAAUUACAUUCAGUCCUUAAUACACAAGGAUUUUUCCCUAUGCACCAAGACUACAAAACAAUUUCCUUGUAUUCAAGUAUUCUUCACACAAAUCUCUUUAGACUUAUUCCAAAUACAAUUAAUGCUUUCUAAAAGAUAUAUAGAUAUACAAUGAUACUUUAGGAACAAUCUCUUGACUAUGCAAAGUAUUAAGAAAUAAGUACAUUAAGGAUCCCCAAAAAAAGUUUAGAAUGAAGAAAAAUUAUUGAAAAAUGUUUUUUUUU